rnacentral:rRNA from 1 species
GGACCCGCACAAGCAGCGGAGCAUGUGGUUUAAUUCGAAGCAACGCGAAGAACCUUACCAAGGCUUGACAUCCCCUUGACAGAUGCAGAGAUGUGUCCUCCUCUUCGGAGGCAAGGGAGACAGGUGGUGCAUGGUUGUCGUCAGCUCGUGUCGUGAGAUGUUGGGUUAAGUCCCGCAACGAGCGCAACCCUUAUCCUUAGUUGCCAGCAUGUAAAGAUGGGCACUCUAAGGAGACUGCCGGUGAUAAACCGGAGGAAGGUGGGG